UACGGAGGGGGCGAGCGUUGUCCGAAGUUACUGGGCGUAAAGCGCGCGUAGGCGGGGAGCCAAGUCCGCUGUGAAAGCCUGAGGCUUAACCUCAGCGGGUCGGUGGAUACUGGUUCUCUUGAAGGCGUUAGGGGGAGAUGGAAUUACCGGUGGAGCGGUGAAAUGCGUAGAGAUCGGAAAGAACACCAACGGCGAAAGCACUCUGCUGGGCCGACACUGACACUGAGAGACGAAAGCUAGGGGAGCGAAUGGG
rnacentral:rRNA from 1 species